GAAAUUUAUGGGAAUGUUAUAGGUUUGUAUUUGAGGACAGCGUAUUUUGUCCUAGUGUCAGACAAUCUGUCUGAGAUCAGAGAACUUGAAGUCACAGAUCUCUAGAGAGUGGACUUUACAUCAUCGGUAGCACAGAUACGGUAUCUUUGCAUAAACGGGAUCGAUUAUUCAAUCUGUAAUACAGAGUUAACCAUCACGUCUGGGCAACAAGAAAAAUCGACAUCUAGCUAGGUCGAUCGUUGACAUCUGCAGGUUUACAGGCAUGAGGAGAUGUUCUCUUGCUGUUUGGGAGAAGUUUACUCUACAGAUUCUUUGAAGUUUCAUAG